rnacentral:rRNA from 1 species
UACGAAGGGGGCUAGCGUUGCUCGGAAUUACUGGGCGUAAAGCGCGCGUAGGCGGCUUUGCAAGUCGGGUGUGAAAUCCCCAGGCUUAACCUGGGAACUGCAUUCGAGACUGCAUUGCUAGAGUAUGGGAGAGGGAAGUGGAAUUUCCGGUGUAGCGGUGAAAUGCGUAGAUAUCGGAAGGAACAUCAGUGGCGAAGGCGGCUCACUGGCUCAUUACUGACGCUCAGGCGCGAG